rnacentral:rRNA from 1 species
GAUGAACGCUGGCGGCGUGCCUAAUACAUGCAAGUCGAGCGAACGGACGAGAAGCUUGCUUCUCUGAUGUUAGCGGCGGACGGGUGAGUAACACGUGGAUAACCUACCUAUAAGACUGGGAUAACUUCGGGAAACCGGAGCUAAUACCGGAUAAUAUUUUGAACCGCAUGGUUCAAAAGUAAAAGACGGUCUUGCUGUCACUUAUAGAUGGAUCCGCGCUGCAUUAGCUAGUUGGUAAGGUAACGGCUUACCAAGGCAACGAUGCAUAGCCGACCUGAGAGGGUGAUCGGCCACACUGGAACUGAGACACGGUCCAGACUCCUACGGGAGGCAGCAGUAGGGAAUCUUCCGCAAUGGGCGAAAGCCUGACGGAGCAACGCCACGUGAGUGAUGAAGGUCUUCGGAUCGUAAAACUCUGUUAUUAGGGAAGAACAUAUGUGUAAGUAACUGUGCACAUCUUGACGGUACCUAAUCAGAAAGCCACGGCUAACUACGU